rnacentral:tRNA from 1 species
AGUAGAGUUGACUAAAGGUUAGUUACCAGACUCAUUAUCUGGGGAAUGUAGGUUCGAGUCCUGCC